UCUUGGUCAUUUAGAGGAAGUAAAAGUCGUAACAAGGUUUCCGUAGGUGAACCUGCGGAAGGAUCAUUAUUGAAAUAAACCUGAUGGGUUGUUGCUGGUUCUCUAGGGAGCAUGUGCACACCUUGUCAUCUUUAUAUCUCCACCUGUGCACUUUUUGUAGACCUUCCAGGUCUAUGUUGCUUCAUUUACCCCAAUGUAUGUUAAUAGAAUGUUGUGACUAUAUAAUAUAUACAACUUUCAGCAACGGAUCUCUUGGCUCUCGCAUCGAUGAAGAACGCAGCGAAAUGCGAUAAGUAAUGUGAAUUGCAGAAUUCAGUGAAUCAUCGAAUCUUUGAACGCACCUUGCGCUCCUUGGUAUUCCGAGGAGCAUGCCUGUUUGAGUGUCAUUAAUAUAUCAACCUUCUCUUUUUUGAGUUGUUUGGAUGUGGGGGUUUGCUGGACUCUUUAAUGAUUCAGCUCCCCUGAAAUGCAUUAGCAGAACAACCUGUUCAUUGGCGUGAUAAUUAUCUAUGCUAUUGAAUGUGAGGGCAGUUCAGCUUUCUAACCGUCCUCGGACAAUUCAUCAUUAAUGUGACCUCAAAUCANGUAGGACUACCCGCUGAACUUAAGCAUAUCAAUAAGCGGAGGAA
rnacentral:rRNA from 1 species